rnacentral:rRNA from 1 species
ACGAGCGCACCCUUAUCCUUAGUUGCCAGCAAUCAUGGUGGGAACUCUGGGAGACUGCCGGUGAUAAACCGGAGGAAGGUGGGGACGACGUCAAGUCAUCAUGGCCCUUAUGGGUAGGGCUACACACGUGCUACAAUGGCCGGUACAGAGGGCAGCGAACUCGCGAGAGCAAGCAAAUCCCACAAAGCCGGUCCUAGUCCGGAUUGGAGUCUGCAACUCGACUCCCUGAAGUCGGAAUCGCUAGUAAUCGCGAAUCAGAAUGUCGCGGUGAAUACGUUCCCGGGCCUUGUACACACCGCCCGU